CCGAAUUGUUUAAUAAAUUGUUUAUUCGCACUUUUAAGUAAGUUUUCACAUUUUGUUUUAUUUUCAAUCAAUUAAUUUCAGCACAACACAAAAUUCUUCAGAAUUCAAUUGAUAAAGCGAUGCAUGACGUAGCAAACGUUACCACGGAAAUUGAAGCGAAUAUUAAGAAGACUUUUC